UACCAGCACCCCGAGUGGUCGGGACGUUUAUUGGGCCUAAAGCAUCCGUAGCCGGUUCUACAAGUCUUCCGUUAAAUCCACCUGCUUAACAGAUGGGCUGCGGAAGAUACUAUAGAGCUAGGAGGCGGGAGAGGCAAGCGGUACUCGAUGGGUAGGGGUGAAAUCCGUUGAUCCAUUGAAGACCACCAGUGGCGAAGGCGGCUUGCCAGAACGCGCUCGACGGUGAGGGAUGAAAGCUGGGGGAGCAAACCGG
rnacentral:rRNA from 1 species